UACGAAGGGUGCAAGCGUUAUUCGGAAUCACUGGGCGUAAAGGGUGCGUAGGCGGUAUGUUAAGUUUGUCGUUAAAGACUCUAGCCUAACUGGAGGGUUGCGAUGAAAACUGGCGUGCUAGAGGAUGAGAGAGAGAAGUGGAAUUCCUGGAGUAGCGGUAAAAUGCGUGGAUCUCAGGAGGAACACCAAUGGCGAAGGCAGCUUCUUGGCUCAUAUCUGACGCUGAGGCACGAAAGCGUGGGGAGCAAACAGG
rnacentral:rRNA from 1 species